AUGGAUGAUAUAGCAGUUCCAAUUGCGUCCACGUCGGGCGAAGAUUCAGUAAUCUCGUUUCAGCACCCAUGGACAUUAAAGGUUUGCCAGAGACAAAUCGAGGACGAGACAAUUUUGUUAAAUGUAUCACGACCGUUUUCCACGUCAUACAAGCAUGUGCAGUUUACAUGGGCUCUGCGGUUGACCGAUGAGUAUGUGCUCUCAAAUAAUGCAGCCGUCGACUCGAAUCGCCACGUGCUCCUGCACCUUUACUACAAAGAGGGUCCAUGCCCGGAGGUGGCCGUCGAGGAGGUCAGAGCACAGAUCCUUGAUCCAGUCACCAAUGAGACCUUGUUCGCCGGUCUGGCGUUGUCGCCGACCGAGUUUUCGCGGGGAAGCGGUUGGCCGAUCCAUAUGGAGAAGGAGCGACGGGCAGAGUUUACCGAGUUGGUGCACAAGAAGGUGGAUUCGAAUUUGUUGGUCGUGGUUGAGAUCAAGAUGAAGGAGUCGCUGUUCGAGCCAUUGAACUAUCUGCCGGAUGUUGAGACGGCGUUUAGGAGCCAGAGAAUCGAGAAGGCGGUGAACAAGUUUGUUGAUGAUGUUAUCAAUGGAAAGAUUCGGAUUCCUGAUUUGGAGCACGUCGAUGAAAAGGCUGACAAAUUCUCGGUUCACCGGCUGAUUUUCAUUUAUGGCGUCGACUCGGUAUCGCGCGAGAUAUCGGACAACGAGCAACAAAGCGAAAUCUGUGAGCAACUCGUGAGAAAUACCUUUGCUCACAUCUACUUCGAACGGGUGCUCUCCCGAGAAAUCACGUACUUUGAUGAUUUUGUCACCCUCGUCGAGGGUCUCACCUUUGCUCAUCUCCCAGCUCUUCGGAAGGAAGUAGAACGAUUUAUUUGCCAAAAAGUUAUCGAGGCUGAUAUGGAUCCAUCGUUCGCUAAAAAGCUACUACUGGUUUCUGAGAAGUACAACUUGGAGAUUUUGAAGAUGGUGAUCAACGGGUUCCUUGUCGAUCAAAUCAUUGGAAACUCGAACCCGCCAAAAGAGCUCGUCAACAUUACACAUGAGCUCCAACAGAUGGCCCAUGAGAUCCGCGAAAACGAGAAUAUCGAGAAUCUUGUCGGAGCAGUCGUAACAGAUCUUCAGGAGCUCACACGUCGAGUCCGUCGGGUAUCGCUCUCCCACAGUCCAUCACAAUCGUCCCAUAGCAGGUGAGUCGUGAAAUUCACAUGAAAAUCUUGCCACUAAAUUGUUUUGUUUCAUCUCUCUCUCUUGAGAAAGAAAUCAAAGAUUGACGGGAAACAGAUAUGGCACACUGAUAAUUGAAACGACGAUUCGCAAUAAUAAUGGAAGAAAAAAAGAUAAUGGACGUUAAUGGACAAAAAACAUUGACAACAAAACUUUCGGUACUUUUAAUGAUUUCCAUUGUGUACUGUAGCGUUUUAAGGGGAACAUUUCUCUAAUAGUAUAGUUGUUAAUGAAGAACUCCAUGAAUCAAAAUAAUUAUUGUAAAAUUAGAGACCAUUAAGAUAUAAGCUGCUAGGUCUUCGUCGAUGCACCAUGUUGAAAAUAGUUUUGCAUCAACUUUAUUACUUCGUAUCUAGGCUCUAGGCAUAUCAGUAAUGUUUACUGAUAUCUUUGAAAUUAGCGGAGAUAUAAAGUGAUAAAGGAACAAACUAUUUUCAACACGGUGCACCAACUAAAUUUUUUUUUAGAAAAACAUAUGUAUUUUGCUGAUUAACAAUCUUAAACCUUUGUAUAAUAAAUUGUUACAAACAACCAAAUUAUGAACUGCUAAUGUUUAUAGAGAUGUCUUAAAAUCGACUGACUCGUCUUGAACAAUAUUAGUAAAGGUUUAGGCAAGAGAAAAGUAUUUAGUUAGCUAACAGUAUUGAUAAAACUCUACACGUUUUUUUUUCGGCACGAAAAUAAUAGAAGAAGCAUUGCACAUACUUUUAAAUCCAAAAUGUGAAAUUUCCAAAUUGUUCUGAAAAUAUAAAUUGAAUUAUCUCUACAGACGUUAUAAGGGAUGUGUGGCAAAUUUGGCGAGUUUGCCGAACUUGCCGAGUUCGUCAAAUUUUGAAAUUAGCCGCGCACAUGAAACAUUUUUAAUAAGAAUUUUGCCCAAAGCUAAUGGUCUAGAUCCGAAACUUAAUGAAAAAAAAACAGAACAUUCUUUCGGCAAAAUAUUAGGCAAAAAUUAGGCAAAAAUUAGACAAAAAUCGAACGAAAACCAGGGAGCUUUAAUGUUUUUUUUAACUUUUAAAAGUUUUUUUGAGCUCCAAAAAAAUUGCAAUUUACCGAGUAUGAUGGUCACGGCAAAUUUGCCGAAUUUGCCGGAUUUACCGUGCUCGGCAAAUUUCAAAAAUAUGGGCUUGCGGAAUUUUCCAUGCUCGUCAAAUUUUUGAACUGCUAAUUUCAAAACUUGCCGCACACCUCUGGACAUUAAGCGAAAUUCCGCAAAUUGGUUCAACUUUAUUGUCACUGUCAGAAUGUAAAAUUAACCUUUCCAUAUUUCAGCUCUCCCCUCGCUACCCCAACAAAUGGAAGUGGUUCUCCAUCGGUUCCGGCUCCAUUCGACUCCCCGACAAGCCGCUUCAAACGAGUUUCCCUGGCCUAA
rnacentral:misc_RNA from 1 species